GUGCCAGCCGCCGCGGUAAUACGGAGGGUGCAAGCGUUAAUCGGAAUUACUGGGCGUAAAGCGCGCGUAGGCGGCCAUUUAAGCUAGAUGUGAAAGCCCAGGGCUUAACCUUGGAACUGCAUUUAGAACUGUAUGGCUAGAGUAUGGAAGAGGAGUGUGGAAUUUCAGGUGUAGCGGUGAAAUGCGUAGAGAUCUGAAGGAACAUCAGUGGCGAAGGCGACACUCUGGUCCAAUACUGACGCUGAGGUGCGAAAGCGUGGGGAUCAAACAGGAUUAGAAACCCCUGUAGUCC
rnacentral:rRNA from 1 species